rnacentral:tRNA from 1 species
GUGGCCGAGUAGGUGGCAGGUUGUAGCCCUGUGCAGGUGGGUUUAGUCCCGCCCUUAUCAA